AUUGAACGCUGGCGGCAGGCCUAACACAUGCAAGUCGAGCGGAGCGGCGGACGGGUGAGUAAGUCCUAGGAAUCUGCCUGGUAGUGGGGGAUAACGUCCGGAAAGGGGCGCUAAUACCGCAUACUAUCAGAUGAGCCUAGGCGGGAUUAGCUAGUGGGUGGGGUAAAGGCCUACCAAGGCGACGAUCCCAAACUGGUCUGAUUGGAUGAUCAGUCACACUGGAACUGAGACACGGUCCAGACUCCUACGGGAGGCAGCAGUGGGGAAUAUUGGACAAUGGGCGAAAGCCUGAUCCAGCCAUGCCGCGUGUGUGAAGAAGGUCUUCGGAUUGUAAAGCACUUUAAGUUGGGAGGCGUUACCAACAGAAUAAGCACCGGCUAACUUCGUGCCAGCCGCCGCGGUAAUUC
rnacentral:rRNA from 1 species